UGUGGGUGAAGUUCCAGUAUACAUUCUUCCAGGACCUAUAGGGUGUUCUGGGGAGGGCCUUUGAGUUGGAAGUCAGAUCUGAUUCAACCUGUAAACAGCCUCCCAUCCACAGCAGCACACUACCUGUUGACAUAUUUUCCCUGGGGAGGGACAGGGAGUUGACUGGAACUCAAGCUUUGGAUCUUCCUGUGUGAAGCAGCUGUAAUUGGUGCAGGACAUCAGGACAUAGCAGUGGGCGCUAGCAUGAAACAAGUACAAAAACAAGCUCUGACUCAGGAAUGGAAGGAAGCCCCUGUCAGCAUGAUCAGGGAGGGGCUGAAGAGCUUCUUAGAGCUGACUGCCUGGCCCAGAGAAAGAAGAUGAUGCCUCUGUCCCCGUGACCUUGAGGGCACCCGUACAGGCCCUGUGGCCUCUGUCAGCAGAGCGCAGCAUGGACGCUCCUAUAGGCUCACUGCCCCUGACUCAGCCUUCAGAUGCCUCAGAAGGCUUUGGGGCCCCCACUCAGUUAUUUUCUCCUUGGUGCUGGAAGUCUCC
rnacentral:lncRNA from 1 species